GACGAACGCUGGCGGCGUGCUUAACACAUGCAAGUCGAACGGAAAGGCCCUGCUUUUGUGGGGUGCUCGAGUGGCGAACGGGUGAGUAACACGUGUGUAACCUGCCCUUGACUUUGGGAUAACUUCAGGAAACUGGGGCUCAUACCGGAUAGGAGCUCCUGCUGCAUGGUGGGGGUUGGAAAGUUUCGGCGGUUGGGGAUGGACUCGCGGCUUAUCAGCUUGUUUGUGAGGUAGUUGCUUACCAAGGCUUUGACCGGUAGCCGGCCUGAGAGGGUGACCGGCCACAUGGGGACUGAGAUACGGCCCAGACGCCUACGGGAGGCAGCAGGGGGGAAUAUUGCGCAAUGGGCGGAAGCCUGAUGCAGCGGCGCCGCGUGCGGGAUGACGGCCUUCGGGUUGUAAACCGCUUUCGCCUGUGACGAAGCGUGAGUGACGGUAAUGGGUAAAGAAGCACCGGCUAACUACGUG
rnacentral:rRNA from 1 species